AGAACCGGGCUUCCGAGCCGGGCUGCGGGCUGCACCCCGGGAGGAGCCGGGGCCUCUGGAGCGGGGCUUCGCGCUGCGCCCUGCACCACGGGGAGGAGCCGGGCUCCGCAGCGGAGCUGUGCAGCCCUGGCGGCGACUCGCCGAGGGGCUCCACUGCCGCUGGAGCCAGGUGACCCGGGCGUGAGCCAGUGCCACAAGGCGCGUGUCGGGGAGGGUGGGAGAGCACCGUGCCUGGCUCGGAAGGGACAGAGACGAAGGAAGCGUCGGGGAAGAACCGCAGAGCCCGGCCUCCCGAGGGCCACUCGGGUUCCUGCGCGCUCCCGCACUCGGCCAGCUCGGUCAACCCCGUCGGCUCUGCUGUGAUUGCCCCAUUUUGCAGACCAAGAAAUCGAGGCCCGGGGUGUUCAGUCGGUCACUUAGGACACAGGGCUAAGAAGCAGCAGCGGCAGCGGUGAGCUCCUGAGACCCGGGGAGGUGCGCGAACGUGGGCAGGGUGGCGGUUAAGGGGACUGGUGGCUUGAAGGAGGGGAGCACCAGUCUGCGCACAAAUCUGAGCCUUUGGCUGCGUCCUGCUCCCGGCUUCCUGCUCCUGCGCUCGGCGGCCGCAUGGCAGAGGCCCCUCAUCUCUGAAGCCCUCUUCCACCGUGGACUACUUUUCAUUCAGGCUGAACUCCAGAGUCUUUAUAGAGGACCCUGUUUGCUGCUUCUGUGGCUCACAGCUCUCACCCUCCUGACUGCCCUGGGCCCCCACCUCCUCCAGCCAAGGCUGCUGCCCUGGAGAACCCUCGGGACUUACAAACUGCAGAGUGCUCACGAGUUUAAGAAAGCAUCAGUAUUUUCACUGUGAUCCUAAUAAAGGAUGAAUAAGGCAAGAACGAAUCGUGGAAAUAAUUAAAUGUGGCCAGGUGUAGUGGCACACACCUGUAAUCCCAGCAGCUCGGGAGGCUGAGGCAGGAGGAUUGUGAGUUCAAAGCCAGCCUCAGCAACAGCAAGGUGCUAAGCAACUCAGUGAGGCCCUGUCUCUAAAUAAAAUGUAAAAAAGGCUGGGGAUGUGGCUCAGUGGCCAAGUGCCCCUGAGUUCAAUCCCUGGUACAAAUAAAUAAAUAAACCAAAAAUGAAAUGUAUGAAGUAUUCAAGUGAAGAAGCGACACGCUGAGCCCAAGCCAGGUGAAGAAGCAGCACGUAAUCCGUGCCUCGGGGAGGCUCAGCCCUCAGAGCCGUGGGAGUCGAGCAGGGCCAGCUCAGGGCUGGGGGCAGAGCGCCUUCUCCUGGCUGUUAAAGGAGGCUCCCCGCCCCUCCAGACUUUUCGCAGGGAAAUCCCUCCCUGUGGCCGCUUGCAAGUAAAGUGGAUCUUACUAAUCAACCACACAGCCACAAAGAGAGCUGGCCUUUGAAUCAAGGACACUCUAGUGAAGAGAAUCCAGUUCCGAACUGAUGCAGUAGGGCAUGAGCGGAAAACCCACGCUGACGGUGGCUUCCCUGUCCCCUCCCCAACCCGUUCCCCAUGGGCUUUGGCUGACAUCCUUAAGGAGGCUCAACAGUUACACGUCCAGACCUCAUUCUGAACUCGCCAAGUUUUCCAAAAAGGCUCAUUAGUGACUGGGAAAGGGAACGGACGCACAACAGGGAACAGAACUUGGGAACUAAUCUGGGGCCCUUGGACCAGAGUGUGGAGGGCCGCAGGGAGGCGGAGGCAGGGUCCCCGGCUCCACCCCUAGCGGGCUGCCAGGAGGAGUUCUGGAGUGCUGGGCCCUUCUAGAUCCCUGGAGGGUCUGUGGGGCCCGGAGCCUAGAGUACAGGACAGUACCUCGGCCCCCAAAGACCAAGGUUGAGAGGCCCUGAUGGAUCAGCAGGAGCUGGCCCACCACACACCAGAUCUCGGCCUUUCCCUCCAUGUCUCUCACUGUGUCAGGUGUGAAAACCUUGUCUCCCCCACAAGAUUCUGAGCUCAGGGCAGAGUCGGCGGUUCAUGGACACCCCAUGGGCCUGCCCAGCCGUGGGUGCAGUGUGCAAGGGUUCUGGGCACACAGUGGAGGGGCAGGGCAGAAUGCCGGCCAAACAAGGGAUCUGGUCAGGUCCCCGAAACACACAGUGGCUCUGUUGCAGCCCUGAGUAAGGCUGAAGUGGUGUGUGGCUGGCUCAGGCCUUUGAGCAGAGGGCUCCGUCUUCCUGGAGUGUUUCUUGCAGUUAAAGUGUACUUUUCCAAGACUCUCGAGGCACCCAUUACCUGUCCACUCAUGCAUGAUGUGGUCCUUGUUAGAUCUUUGCCCCAGGUGAAGGCUGCCAGUCUCGCCCUUUAGGGCAAUUUGGUCAUUAACUGGUUACAGGGGACAACUAUCCAGGUGAAAAUGGGGAGCGCCCCUUGGAGACCUGCAACUUUGGGAUGAGAAAUGGAAGCAAGCGAGCAGCGGGCCACGCACUCUGCACCUACCUGGAGCUUCUCGAUCAGGGGCGAGCUCUUCACCUUGACUUUGGGCGGGUGGCCAGCACUGGGCGGUGAUUUCUGUGGAACAAAUGGACCAACACGAGCAAGUGAGCGAGGUGAAGAGGGCGGGCUCUGUGGAGCCCAGAGCCGGGUGGAGGACAAGAGGAGACCGGCCUUCCUCACCCCGCUGCUUAUUUCCAUGCCAACCUGGCCUCAGGCCCAGGCAGGCCGGUCCCCCAUCUCACCACCAGCAAGACCACUUGAGCCCAGGAAAAGUCAGGGCAGAGUCCCCUGUGCCAGGGAGAAUGACCUCAUUGUGUCUGUGGGCAGCACAUGGGCACCUGCUAACCUCCAGCAAGGUGAGUCACCCCCUGGGGGCACAAGAGGCAAGGCCUCUGUUGCACUCAGCUCUUCUGGAAGCCCCCGCCUGUGGCGCUGUUUAGAACUCUCCAUUCUCCCAGGCACUUUAACCAAGUGGACGUGGAUUGUCGCGUUCCAGCCACCGAGUGAGUUGUAUGAGGGUGGUUCAGCUCCUGCCCGUGAGGCAGCCGCCCUCGUGUCACACGUGUCACAGGUGUGUCUGGGAUGAGCUCAGGCCAGGAACCCUGUCUGCCUCUGGACUCUACAGUUCUAUGAGAUGGACUCCUUGCUUCUUGUAAACUCCCUGCAGCCAGGCGAGAGGGGUGACGGUGGGGGUAGGACCAUCUGGUGGGGACGACGACUCUCCCUCUUCCAGGCGUGGAAGGGUUUCUCCUGAGCUUGGGCCCGACGUGUCCUGCCUGCCCUCAGCCAGGUGCUCAUUUACCUGAACCUGAGGAAGGAGAAGGCUGACCUCUGAGGAGCACUCUGAGGUGCCCACAGAGUGAGAGGGCUUUAUUUUAGUGACACGAAGAAGGAACAGGAGGGAGCCUGCCUCAACAGAUCCCUGUCACCUUUAAGGCCCAUCACCAAGGGGGAGCAUGCUGAGGAGGGAUGACCGCUGGCCGGGACAUGGCACCUUUUUAAUUCUCGCUUUAGGAGGACCAGGAGGGUGCCCUGGCCACAGCCUCCCCUCCCCAGUGGGGUGAAAUGGACGAUGCUGAGGACUCUCCCGGCCUCCCCUGCCUCCACAUCAGACAUGCUCCUGGAGCAGCCUUCUGCCGUGGUGAGCACAGAACUCCCAGUCCCAGUGGGCUGGUCCUCAGCAGCUGUGCUUUGUGGUUGGAAUGCGUGUCUGAAGGUGCCGUUUCAGAAUCUGCAGCAACAAUUUUGCUACAAAGCUCACUCUAGGUAAUGCUAUAAAUGCCUCCCUGACUGAAAACUGCCUUCUAAAGACAGCAUAAAUUCAACAAAUGCCAUCUGUUAGCCACAGGACAGUACUGGGGAUCCAGUCUCUGUGCCCAAUGCACCAGUAAUUUGAACAUCAAGUCGUGACUGCAAUUCCUGGGACUGACAGCAGGUGGCAGCAUUUCCUUUACAGUUUAACAAGGCUGACAACGGGUGGGGGACACAGCCUUCCAUUCAUGCCUGUGUAUUACGUGCUUAGUGACAUGCCAAUCAUGUCCCAUACUGUCCAGCCCAGGAGGUCAGCGCACCAUAGAAGCUGUGGACCUAAAUUUUCAUAUGGGAGUGUUUUUCAGCCUUUUUCUGAGCAGAUGAGGCAGGAUCUGUGACUGCAUUAAACAUCCUGGUUCUUGCAGAAAAGGCAAACCCCUGGUCACUUUCCUGCAGGAGGGGCCCUGCAGCCAGCAGGUGCCUCCAGGGGCUGAACCCAUGGCCUCAGGCCCCAGCGGGCAUGGGGAGAGGGCAGGGAUGAAGAAGGGUGAAGCACAGGGCUCAGGGCACAUGUCUGCGAUCCCAGAGGCUCAGGGGGCUGAGGCAGGAAGACCGCAAACUUCAGCAGGUGGCCACCUGGACUACUUGGCCAGACCCUGUCUCAAAAAUGAAAAACAGCCAGACACGGUGGCACACGCCUGUAAUCCCAGCAGUUUGGGAGGCUGAGAUAAAAGAAUCGCGAGUUCAAAUCCAGCCUCAGCAAAAGCGGGGCGUUAAGCAACUCAGUGAGACCUGUCUCUAAGCACCAGGAGGGGUGCCCCAGGGGCUGGACCUCGAAGCUCACUUCAGGAAACCCAACACCCUCAACCCGACCUCGCUCCUUCUGUUCCAGCCGCCAUCCAGGGUUGAGCACCGCCAUUGCAGGAUGACGGGAAGGCCCCGGGACUGGACCUCGUAGGCCCCUCGCCCUACCUGCCGACCCAGAGCACCUGCGGCUACAGUGGGCGUGUCCCCGAGAGGCGGACCACUUCUAGCAGGGAGGCUGGCAGAGGGGCGGAGCACCUUGCUCUUCAGGUGACCAUGGGCAGGCAACCUCACCUGUGCAGUGGGGACAUGCCGCUUAGCCCCACAGACCAUAUGAGAAUCCAACGGGAGGGCCCAGGUGGCUGUUGAGUGUCACACACGCUCAGCAAACCCUGCUGCUCAACACAAAGCCCGGGAACUUGGAAUCCACCCUUCAGGGCACGUGUGGCGGGAAUCUUGAGGGAAGACACUGGUCCUGAGUUCUCACCACGCCAAACCAAGAUUGCAAAGGGGAGUCCCAGCCAGCCCCACUGCGAUGCAGCCUCCUGCUGGAGAGGGGGCUGGGGAUCCAGGGAAGAGUGGGCCACCCGGUGAGGCCCCAGAGCAGGGCCAGGAGAGGGCAACACAUGGAAGAGAGCAGGGACAAUGGAAGGAAAACUUCCAUUUAAGGAGCAAAUGGGGGUGGGUGGCAGGGAGCGGAGAGACGCAGGAGGCUGGCAGCAGGGGACAGGCAUUCCGGACUGUGUCAGUGCAGGAGCUGCCCAGAGGAUGGGCCAGGGUCAGGGGACCUGAGGGGCUGCUGACCUCCCACACCGGGCUCCAGAGUUUGUGACAUUUUGAAGACAGACUGAGGUUCUUAGGGAACGCGGCACGUGACAACAGAGUGUAGAAGGAGAGUGUUAAGUGAAACACUUCCCAGUCCAAGGGAGACCAGUGGAAGGAAGGGACCAGAGGGAGGGAGCAAGGAUGCGAAGCAAAGGUACGGACACAAAUGGACCAGAUCAGGUUGUCCUGUUGUGUGCACGGCCAGCGGCCAGCACGCAGCAGCAGAUCCACCAUCACGUGCCAUUAGAAUGCACCAAUAAGCAUUUUUUAAAAAAUAAAAAAUGCAAUGUUUCCCUUUUUAACCAAGAUAGAAUUCUAGAAGUUAUUUAGCGUCCCCCACCCCAAUGUCUAUCUAUUAAAAAAUGUAAAACUUU